UAGCGAAGGGGGCAAGCGUUGUUCGGAAUUACUGGGCGUAAAGGGCGCGUAGGCGGCCGAUCAAGUCAGGCGUGAAAUUCCCGGGCUCAACCUGGGGGCUGCGCUUGAUACUGAUUGGCUUGAAUGCGGGAGAGGAUAGUGGAAUUCCCAGUGUAGAGGUGAAAUUCGUAGAUAUUGGGAAGAACACCGGUGGCGAAGGCGGCUAUCUGGCCCGUAAUUGACGCUGAGGCGCGAAAGCGUGGGGAGCAAACAGG
rnacentral:rRNA from 1 species